UACGAAGGGUGCAAGCGUUAAUCGGAAUUACUGGGCGUAAGGGGUGCGUAGGCGGUUCGUUAAGUCUGUUGUGAAAUCCCCGGGCUCAACCUGGGAAUGGCAAUGGAUACUGGCGAGCUAGAGUGUGAUAGAGGAUGGUGGAAUUCCCGGUGUAGCGGUGAAAUGCGUAGAGAUCGGGAGGAACAUCAGUGGCGAAGGCGGCCAUCUGGAUCAACACUGACGCUGAAGCACGAAAGCGUGGGGAGCAAACAGG
rnacentral:rRNA from 1 species